AAGUCGAGCGACAGAUAAGGAGCUUGCUCCUUUGACGUUAGCGGCGGACGGGUGAGUAACACGUGGGUAACCUACCUAUAAGACUGGAAUAACUCCGGGAAACCGGGGCUAAUGCCGGAUAACAUUUAGAACCGCAUGGUUCUAAAGUGAAAGAUGGUUUUGCUAUCACUUAUAGAUGGACCCGCGCCGUAUUAGCUAGUUGGUAAGGUAACGGCUUACCAAGGCAACGAUACGUAGCCGACCUGAGAGGGUGAUCGGCCACACUGGAACUGAGACACGGUCCAGACUCCUACGGGAGGCAGCAGUAGGGAAUCUUCCGCAAUGGGCGAAAGCCUGACGGAGCAACGCCGCGUGAGUGAUGAAGGUCUUCGGAUCGUAAAACUCUGUUAUUAGGGAAGAACAAAUGUGUAAGUAACUAUGCACGUCUUGACGGUACCUAAUCAGAAAGCCACGGCUAACUACGUGCCAGCAGCCGCGGUAAUACGUAGGUGGCAAGCGUUAUCCGGAAUUAUUGGGCGUAAAGCGCGCGUAGGCGGUUUCUUAAGUCUGAUGUGAAAGCCCACGGCUCAACCGUGGAGGGUCAUUGGAAACUGGGAAACUUGAGUGCAGAAGAGGAAAGUGGAAUUCCAUGUGUAGCGGUGAAAUGCGCAGAGAUAUGGAGGAACACCAGUGGCGAAGGCGACUUUCUGGUCUGUAACUGACGCUGAUGUGC
rnacentral:rRNA from 1 species